UGGCUCAGCAGGUUAACAACCCAAAUAGAAUCCAUGAGGAUACAGGUUCGAUCCCUGGCCUCACUAAGUAGGUUAAGGAUCGAGCAUUGCCACAAGCUGUGGCAUAGGCUGCAGAUGCGGUUCAGAACCCAUGCUGCUGUGGCUGUGGUGUAGGCUGGCACCUGCAGCUCUGAUUCGACCUCUAGCCUGGGAACUUAUGCCGCAGGUGUGGCCCUAAAAAGAAAAAAAAAAAAAAAACAAUGAAAUCUUUGGAGUUCCCAUAGUGGCUCAGCAGGUUAAAAAUCCAGUUAGUAUCCAUGAAGAUACUGGUUCAAUCCCUGCCCUCACUCAGUGGAUUAAGGAUCCACCAAUGCCACGAACUGCAGUGUAAGUCACAGAUGAGGCUCAGAUCUGGCUGUGGCUGUGGCUGCGGUAUAGCCUGGCAGCUGCAGCUCUAAUUUCAACCCCUAGCCUGGUAAAUUCCAUAUGCCACACACACAGCCAUAAAAAAAGAAAAGAAAAAAACCUGCACAGAACUCAACACAUGUACACAAAUGAGCACAGAGAAAAUGGUAAGGUCUGAAUAAGGCCAGUAGAUGAUAUCAGAAUCAUCUGGUGUGAUACUGUAGCACAUUUUCGCUAAAGGAUACCAUGGGGAGGAACAGGGUAAAGGGUACUGGUACCUCUCUGUAUUGUACAACUGCAAUGAUCUUGGUGAAAAUGCCCAUUAAGCAAAGCAGCCCAGCAUAAGGUGAUGGGGUAUCACAGGCAAGUGAGGAGAGGCUGCACAAAUUCAAGCCCUGGACCAGGUGUCUGCAAGCAGCCCUGUCCCCCAGUGCUCCUCUGCAUUGGUCUGCAGCCUCUCAGGGGCACCUCCUCUGUGCUCAGGACCUCCAGGCCACCCCCACACACACUCCUGCUGAACAAUCAACUGUCCCCUGCCCCCAUGAGGAAAGCUGCUGCAGUGCCCCCCAAUUCCAAGCCCCAUGUACUUUAAGAUAAACCCAGUUCUAUCUACUCUAUUGGCACCCCCUCACCCCUCACUCCCAGGCAGGGACUCACCCUCAACUCCCACUCUGCUCCAGGACAGUGCCAGGCCCCCCUCAUAGGCUCUGCCCAAUGUGGCCUCUCCCAACCCUGCCCCAAGCCACACUAGCCUCUCUUGUUUGAAGGAUAUUCUGAUGUUCUUUGCUCAAGUUCUUUACUCACUGUGUCCUGUCUAGACACACUCCUCACAUAUACUCGCCUGACCUCUGCCCCUCAUGCGCCCAGUCCGCCUAAUGUUCUCCAUCCUCCCCAUGCACCCUACCCUGUCCUGUUCCCCAGUGUGCCCAGUCUCUGCAUGUACCCUUACCUUACAUGUGCCCCAUCCCUCCAAUUAUCCUGACCUUGCUCUAUCCCCCACAUGCACCUAGUCGCCACACGUGCCCCAAUCUCACACAAGCCCAGUCCCCACAAUACACCCCACUUCUGCACACGCCCCAUCCCCCCACACAACUACCUGGUAUCCACCACAGACAGCCCAUCCCCCAAUUCACCCCAUCUCCACACACACCCUGUUCCAUUCUCUGCUUCAUUCUUCACCGUAGAACUAUGGUAAUCCAGUAUACUUUGUAUUUUACUUUCAAGGUCGGUGGGCACUCAAUAAUUGGUUGAGUGAGUGGAUAAAUGGUGAAAUGAAUGAGUGAAUGAAAUGUAUACUAGAACUCAGAAGUCUCCAGAUUUUUCAUCAACAGUGUCCCUGCUACCAAUACUUCCCUGAUAAACUUCUAAUUUUGAGAGAUCUGUGGCAUAAAAUUUAUUCAGAAAUAAUUCAUUUUUCCCACAAACACUAAUGUGACCAAACAAAAUCAGUAUGAUUUGCAAAGAGGUUGAAGACAAGGAUACUGAGUUGGUGCCCAGAUCACAGAGAGUGGGUGCAGAGUGGUGGUUGAGGAGUGGAAUACUCCUUCUGCUCCCCGUCAGCACAGCCAGGCAUCUGCUCAAGAUAUUUGAAAUACAGGAGUUCCCACAGCGGAAAAGAAUCCACAUAGGAACCAUGAGGUUGAGGGUUUGAUCCUUGUCCUCGCUCAGUGGGUUAAGGAUCUGGCAUUGCCAUGAGCUGUAGUACAGGUCACAGACGAGGCUUGGAUCUGACGUUGCUGUGACUCUGGCGUAGGCCGGUGACAAUAGCUCCGAUUAGACCCCUAGUCUGGGAACUUCCAUAUGCCGUGGGUACAGCCCUAAAAAGACAAAAGUGUAAAAAAUGGACCAGUCACUGUGGGAGAAUGCAGGCAGCUCCUUAUACUCAAGCUUCUUUCCACUGUGGCCCCACAAGCCCACCCCCAGGUACUGAUUUGAUGAGCUGAAAGCCUGUGUUCACACAAGGCUUGUUUGAGUAUGGAAAUGGAGACUGCCAGAGAAGAAAAAGGGCAAAGGCUAUCUGCUCAGAGAUAACUGAGGCAAGGCAGUCAGGGGUAGUCAGGAGUAGUCAGGGGUGGCAGAGCUUCCCAGUACCAAAAGGGAAGUCCCCGGGGUCCUAGAGGCCAUGGCCUGGGGAACUGGAGAGGCUGACUAUAAGUGGGGUGUACUUUGGAACUGGUCAGGGAGCAUAUUUGGCUUCCUCUGGUUGAUUCCAAGUUGGAAAUGGGAUUAAUAAGGAAGCACCAGUUAUUGAUCAAGUCCUAUGGUUUGGGGCUGAUUGCCAAUUAUAGAGGUUAUUGUUUGGCUGCCUAGAAUGUUCCUAGAGAUAGCAGGCUGACAGCCUGUAAGUCUGACUUACAGCAGGAUGGUUUCCUGAACUGGCUACUGGAGAUGGUGGGUUGGUUUCCUCUGGCCAAAGGUUGUAGGUCAGAGUUCUAUUUUUACAGAUGGUCCAGCUAUUGUUUGUAUGCUCACUGCUGCUUUCCUCAUAACAGCCCAAACUGCAAACAUGCUAGGGGUCCCUCGAUAGGAGAUAGAGAAGCUAACUGUGGUCUAGUUCCCGUCGUGGCGCAGUGGUUAACGAAUCCGACUAGGAACCAUGAGGUUGCGGGUUCAAUCCCUGCCCUUGCUCAGUGGGUUGACGAUCCGGCAUUGCCGUGAGCUGUGGUGUAGGUUGCAGACGCAGCUUGGAUCCCGCGUUGCUGUGGCUCUGGCGUAGGCUGGCAGCUACAGCUCUGAUUAGACCCCUAGUCUGGGAACCUCCAUAUGCUGCGGGAGCGGCCCAAGAAAUG
ensembl:lncRNA